rnacentral:misc_RNA from 1 species
GGAAGAUAAUAAUAAUAUCAAUAUAAGAAAAACUCUAAACUUAAUUGAUUUCUAAUGCAAUUAUUUGCUUUGUUUGUUUAUCUAUCCAAAUGUGAUUAAGGGGCAGGCAGUUGAAUUCAUCCCCCUUCUUCCUCAACUACUGCUCCUGACUCUCACCAACCCAUCCCAUACUUGAAACAUGGACCCCAACCCCCAAAAUUUUUUUAAUCAUCUCACGGGUAGCGGUAUUCUUAAUUUCCAAUACAAACUUUGGCAUAAACAUCCUUGUCUAUGUUUGCAUGUUUAACCUGAUAAUAUUAAAUUUUAUCUAUGAAAUUUUGACUUAAAUUUUAACUAAAUUCAAUGAAUGAGGAAAAAAGCCAAUGUCUUAAAUGUUCUUGUUGGUAAAAUCGGAGACAUAAAUUGGGUUAAGGUAAAGGUAAAGGUAAAGGCAAAGGGUAUUUAUUUGCUCACCGAUUUGAAGAACGACAAAGCUCUUGGACAGAACUGCUGGUUGUUUUGUCAGGCUCCAACCGGAAAAAGUAGCCCAUUAAUUACUAGAAAUAUUAGACACUAUUUUUACAUAAAAGUAAUUUUUUUUUUAUAAUAUAUAGAAUAAAUUUUAUAUGGUUAUGUGAUAUAUAUAUAUCGAAUCCUUCUAAUAAUUUUUAAAAUUUCUUUUUGGGGAAAUUUGCUAAAGUGCGUGGCCCUACGCGCCCCCUUUAGCACGACCAAGCAGCCUUCUGGUUACUUUCCAGUUUUCAGAUUACUCAAUCGCGUCAAUGACUCGCUUUUAGUUUAGGUCUUAACUACUUCCUCUCUAUGCCUACUCCUUUUCUUUCUUCCCUUUCGCAAUUUCUAAAAUUUUGUAAAUUUUCUUUUUCUGGUUUUCAUUUUCUCUCCAGGCGCGUACAUGUGCAAAACCAAAAUGGCAGUCGACGCGUCAGACCCCAACUCAGCCCGCUCCACCCGAACUCGUCCUAGUCAAGCUUCCCGGACUCGCUCCUCUCAAUCUCCACGCACGCCUUCCACGCCUAGAUUGCCGACCUUCGCCAGCAGCACCGCCUCGUCCACCUCCUUCUCUGCUGCCUCUGCUCCCUCAACCUCAAACACCUCGGGUGGGUUUUACACUACUACUUCGUCGUCCACCUUAUCCAGCCGAACCUCCCUCUCCAGCCUCCGCCAAUCCAUCUCUCAAAGCCCUAACAUAUAUGACAUCUCUGAAAUUCGAGCAGCCACCAACAAUUUCCUCGCAAAACGUUACUCCACGUCUUCUACCGCCUGCUGGCGCUGUACUCUAAGGGACAGUGAGACGAUAGUCUUCCAGCGAAAGUUCCGCCGGAAAAUGGAAAUGUCGCAGCUGAGAGAACAUCUGGGAGUCAUCUGCCGGGGUCACCACAGGAGCGUAAUCAAAUUAUUGGGCGUUUCGCUAUCAGGAGAACAUAUCUACCUCGUUUACGAAUUCAUCGCCGGCGCGAAUCUCGCCGAUUGUUUACGCAAUGCGAGGAAUCCGAACUUUACGGUUCUUUCAUCGUGGAUUUCGCGAAUGCAGGUCGCCGCCGACCUGGCUCAAGGACUCGAUUACAUCCACAACCAAACAGGCUUAAACUUAACCCUAGUACAUAACCACAUCAAGAGCAGUGGUAUUAUCGUUACAGAGCCACAUUUCAAUGCCAAAAUUUGUCAUUUUGGUACUGCACAGCUGUGUGGAGAACCGCAAGAGAGUAAGAACCUAAGAAAGAAGAGCUCAAUUUCGAAAGAGAAGAGUGAAAUCACUGAAGUUAGUGAGGAAGAUGAAGAUAAAUCGAAACAAUUGAAGAGAUCUAAUAGUGGAGUUAUGCAAUUCGAAGGUGUGAGAGGCUACAUGUCGCCGGAAUUUCAAGCCAGUGGAAUCGCGACGCAAGAAUCCGACGUGUACGCUUUCGGUGUGUUGAUAUUAGAGUUAUUAUCCGGUGAGGAGCCGCUGAAAUACAAAUACGAUAAGAGCACAGGAGAUUUUAUACGAACGUCAUUGAUAGAUACAGCAAGAGCGGCGAUAGACGGUGGCGGCGAUGAUGCCGGUGGUGAUGGAGGAAGAGAAGGAAGGUUAAGGAGGUGGAUGGAUAGGAGGCUGAAUGACUCGUUCCCGGUGGACAUAGCGGAGAAACUAACGCGUCUAGCACUACAAUGCGUACACGUGGAUCCAGAUAAGCGGCCAGAUAUGGGACACGUGGCAGGUAAGAUUUCCAAGUGGUAUUUGGCUUCGAAAACCUGGUCCGAUAAUUUGCGGAUGGUGUCUGGUCAGUUUUCAGUCUCCUUGGCACCUAGAUGAGCUGG